rnacentral:rRNA from 1 species
UACGUAGGGGGCAAGCGUUGUCCGGAAUUAUUGGGCGUAAAGCGCGCGCAGGCGGCCUUGUAAGUCUGUCAUUUAAACUCGGAGCUCAACUUCGAGUCGCGAUGGAAACUGCAAAGCUUGAGUGCAGAAGAGGAAAGUGGAAUUCCACGUGUAGCGGUGAAAUGCGUAGAGAUGUGGAGGAACACCAGUGGCGAAGGCGACUUUCUGGGCUGUAACUGACGCUGAGGCGCGAAAGCGUGGGGAGCAAACAGG